UACGGGGGGAGCAAGCGUUGUUCGGGUUUACUGGGCGUAAAGGGCGCGUAGGCGGCCACUGCAAGUCAGUUGUGAAAUCUCCGGGCUUAACCCGGAAAGGUCAACUGAUACUGCAGGGCUAGAGUGCAGAAGGGGCAACUGGAAUUCUCGGUGUAGCGGUGAAAUGCGUAGAUAUCGAGAGGAACACCUGCGGCGAAGGCGGGUUGCUGGGCUGACACUGACGCUGAUGUGCGAAAGCCAGGGGAGCGAACGGG
rnacentral:rRNA from 1 species